rnacentral:rRNA from 1 species
GAUGAACGCUGGCGGCGUGCCUAAUACAUGCAAGUCGAGCGAAUGGAUUAAGAGCUUGCUCUUAUGAAGUUAGCGGCGGACGGGUGAGUAACACGUGGGUAACCUGCCCAUAGACUGGGAUAACUCCGGGAACCGGGGCUAAUACCGGAUAACAUUUUGAACCGCAUGGUCCGAAAUUGAAAGGCGGCUUCGGCUGUCACUUAUGGAUGGACCCGCGUCGCAUUAGCUAGUUGGUGAGGUAACGGCUCACCAAGGCAACGAUGCGUAGCCGACCUGAGAGGGUGAUCGGCCACACUGGGACUGAGACACGGCCCAGACUCCUACGGGAGGCAGCAGUAGGGAAUCUUCCGCAAUGGACGAAAGUCUGACGGAGCAACGCCGCGUGAGUGAUGAAGGCUUUCGGGUCGUAAAACUCUGUUGUUAGGGAAGAGCAAGUGCUAGUUGAAUAAGCUGGCACCUUGACGGUACCUAACCAGAAAGCCACGGCUAACUACGUGCCAGCCGCCGCAGUAA